rnacentral:miRNA from 1 species
UAAACUGGCAAGUAGGAAACAU